AGCGAGACCGUGCCGGUCCGUCAGACCCCCGACCCGACGGACCGGCGCGGUCUCGUC
rfam:Rhodococcus sp. PBTS1, complete genome.